GACGAACGCUGGCGGCGUGCCUAAUACAUGCAAGUCGAGCGCAGGAAACUGACGGAACUCUUCGGAGGGAAGGCAGUGGAAUGAGCGGCGGACGGGUGAGUAACACGUAAGGAACCAGCCUCAAGGAUUGGGAUAACUCCGAGAAAUCGGAGCUAAUACCGGAUAGUUCAACGGACCGCAUGGUCCGCUGAUGAAAGGCGCUCCGGCGUCACCUUGAGAUGGCCUUGCGGUGCAUUAGCUAGUUGGUGGGGUAACGGCCCACCAGGGCGACGAUGCAUAGCCGACCUGAGAGGGUGAUCGGCCACACUGGGACUGAGACACGGCCCAGACUCCUACGGGAGGCAGCAGUAGGGAAUCUUCCACAAUGGACGAAAGUCUGAUGGAGCAACGCCGCGUGAGUGAUGAAGGUUUUCGGAUCGUAAAACUCUGUUGUAAGGGAAGAACACGUACGAGAGGAAAUGCUCGUACCUUGACGGUACCUUACGAGAAAGCCACGGCUAACUACGUGCCAGCCGCCGCCGUAA
rnacentral:rRNA from 1 species